GAUGAACGCUGGCGGCGUGCCUAAUACAUGCAAGUCGAGCGAACAGACGAGGAGCUUGCUCCUCUGACGUUAGCGGCGGACGGGUGAGUAACACGUGGAUAACCUACCUAUAAGACUGGGAUAACUUCGGGAAACCGGAGCUAAUACCGGAUAAUAUAUUGAACCGCAUGGUUCAAUAGUGAAAGACGGUUUUGCUGUCACUUAUAGAUGUAUCCGCGCCGCAUUAGCUAGUUGGUAAGGUAACAGCUUACCAAGGCAACGAUGCGUAGCCGACCUGAGAGGGUGAUCGGCCACACUGGAACUGAGACACGGUCCAGACUCCUACGGGAGGCAGCAGUAGGGAAUCUUCCGCAAUGGGCGAAAGCCUGACGGAGCAACGCCGCGUGAGUGAUGAAGGUCUUCGGAUCGUAAAACUCUGUUAUUAGGGAAGAACACAUGUGUAAGUAACUAUGCACGUCUUGACGGUACCUAAUCAGAAAGCCACGGCUAACUACGUG
rnacentral:rRNA from 1 species